GAUGAACGCUAGCGAUAGGCUUAACACAUGCAAGUCGAGGGGCAGCAUGGUCUUAGCUUGCUAAGGCUGAUGGCGACCGGCGCACGGGUGCGUAACGCGUAUGCAACUUGCCUCACAGAGGGGGAUAACCCGUCGAAAGACGGACUAAUACCGCGUACACUCUAUGUUGGGCAUCCAAUGUAGAGGAAAUGAAAUUCGCUGUGAGAUAGGCAUGCGUCCCAUUAGCUAGUUGGUGAGGUAACGGCUCACCAAGGCGACGAUGGGUAGGGGAACUGAGAGGUUGAACCCCCACACUGGUACUGAGACACGGACCAGACUCGUACGGGAGGCAGCAGUGAGGAAUAUUGGUAAAUGGGCGAGAGCCUGAACCAGCCAAGUCGCGUGAAGGAUGACUGUCUUAUGGAUUGUAAACUUCUUUUAUACGGGAAUAACAAGAGUAACGUGUGGCUCCCUGCAUGUACCGUAUGAAUAAGCAUCGGCUAACUCCGUG
rnacentral:rRNA from 1 species